rnacentral:rRNA from 1 species
CCCUUAGAUGCUCUGGGCCGCACGCGCGCUACACUGGUCGAUGCAACGAGUUUCUUUCCUUGGCCGACAGGCCUGGGCAAUCUUUGAACAUCGAUCGUGGUCGGGAUAGAUUCUUGUAAUUUUUGAUCUUAAACGAGGAAUUCCUAGUAAACGCAAGUCAUCAGCUUGCAUUGAUUACGUCCCUGCCCUUUGUACACACCGCCCGUCGCACCUACCGAUUGAAUGGUCCGGUGAAAUCUCCGGACUGGCGUGAGUCGGAGCAAUCUGACAAACACCGGAAAGUUGAUUAAACCUUACCAUUUAGAGGAAGGUGAAGUCGUAACA